GGGCCAGCAGCAGAGCCAGGAUCCAGAAUCAAACACGGCUUUCAUCUGCUCCUGGAGGGAGAAAUCCAUCGGUUUCAUUAGCUCUUUGAAAAACGAGGUGGGACCAUGUUGGCGAGGUGACAAGGUCACCAAGAGUCAUUUAUCAUUUUCGACGAGGCAUAAUGAACUCCUUG
rnacentral:lncRNA from 10 species